rnacentral:rRNA from 1 species
AACAGGAUUAGAUACCCUGGUAGUCCACGCCGUAAACGAUGUCGACUUGGAGGUUGUGCCCUUGAGGCGUGGCUUCCGGAGCUAACGCGUUAAGUCGACCGCCUGGGGAGUACGGCCGCAAGGUUAAAACUCAAAUGAAUUGACGGGGGCCCGCACAAGCGGUGGAGCAUGUGGUUUAAUUCGAUGCAACGCGAAGAACCUUACCUACUCUUGACAUCCACGGAAUUUGGCAGAGAUGCCUUAGUGCCUUCGGGAACCGUGAGACAGGUGCUGCAUGGCUGUCGUCAGCUCGUGUUGUGAAAUGUUGGGUUAAGUCCCGCAACGAGCGCAACCCUUAUCCUUUGUUGCCAGCGGUCCGGCCGGGAACUCAAAGGAGACUGCCAGUGAUAAACUGGAGGAAGGUGGGGAUGACGUCAAGUCAUCAUGGCCCUUACGAGUAGGGCUACACACGUGCUACAAUGGCAUAUACAAAGAGAAGCGACCUCGCGAGAGCAAGCGGACCUCAUAAAGUAUGUCGUAGUCCGGAUUGGAGUCUGCAACUCGACUCCAUGAAGUCGGAAUCGCUAGUAAUCGUGGAUCAGAAUGCCACGGUGAAUACGUUCCCGGGCCUUGUACACACCGCCCGUCACACCAUGGGAGUGGGUUGCAAAAGAAGUAGGUAGCUUAACCUUCGGGAGGGCGCUUACCACUUUGUGAUUCAUGACUGGGGUGAAGUCGUAACAAGGUAACC